AGCUUUGCUCAGUGACAGUAUCAUAGCCAAUGAGGUUGAUCCGAGGCGAGAUUAUUGCUAAUUGAAAAAUUUAUUUGACUUAGAGGAGAUGAAAUGAUCCUAUGAUUUAAAAAAAAAAUGUAGAGGCACCUGGGUG